UACGUAGGGAGCAAGCGUUGUUCGGAUUUACUGGGCGUAAAGGGCGCGUAGGCGACCUGUCAAGUCAACUGUGAAAUCUCCGGGCUUAACUCGGAACGGUCAGUCGAUACUGUCAGGCUAGAGUGCAGAAGGGGCAAUCGGAAUUCUUGGUGUAGCGGUGAAAUGCGUAGAUAUCAAGAGGAACACCUGAGGUGAAGACGGGUUGCUGGGCUGACACUGACGCUGAGGCGCGAAAGCCAGGGGAGCAAACGGG
rnacentral:rRNA from 1 species